UCUCUCAUCUCGUUUUCUAACUCCCAUAUUGUUGCGUUUUUUGGGGUAUGAUGUUACCACUAUACCUUCACCAUGGGAAUCGUCUUAUUGCAUAAGACCUUGUCAGUCCAUCCAAGAAUCUCCAAGGGGAUUCCCUCAUACAUCAUAUCAGCUUGUAUCUGUGCUUCAUUGUGAGGAAUGAUAUGAGAAGGGUCAGGGUGAUACAUUUUGAGCAUCAAGACGUGGAUAACAUCAUAUAAACCCGUAAACUCUCAGGGUAGAGUAAGGCGGUAUGCCAUGGGUCCAAUGCACUCAAUGAUCUGAAAAAGUCCCAUAUAACGAGGGCUUAACUUCCUUUUUUUCUUGAAUUGCAUACUUCCCUUGUAGGGGAACACCUUGAGAAAAACCUGGUCUCUAACGACAAAUUCCAAGGGUUGCCUACGAUAUCAGCAUAACUCUUCUGACGACUCUUGGCGGUAGCCAAGUUUUUGUUGAUGAUGGCGACCUUCUCAAUAGUCUCUUGGAUGAAGUCUAGUCCCAAAUGACACUAGUUUCCGACUUUACUCCAACAAGUGGGAGAACAACAAGGUUAUUAUACAAUGCUUCAUACAGAGCCAUGCCGAUGCUGGAAUGAUAACUGUUAGUAUAAGUAAAUUCACAU
rnacentral:lncRNA from 1 species